rnacentral:snRNA from 1 species
UGACCUCCCGGGAAGUCCUCGU